rnacentral:snRNA from 1 species
AGCUUUUUGCAGUGGCAGUAUUGCAGCCAAUGAGGUUUAUCCGAGGGGUGAUUAUUGCUCUUUGAAAAUUGAAAAAAAAAAA